GGUGAACGCUGGCGGCGUGCCUAAUACAUGCAAGUCGAGCGAACGGACGAGAAGCUUGCUUCUCUGAUGUUAGCGGCGGACGGGUGAGUAACACGUGGAUAACCUACCUAUAAGACUGGGAUAACUUCGGGAAACCGGAGCUAAUACCGGAUAAUAUUUUGAACCGCAUGGUUCAAAAGUGAAAGACGGUCUUGCUGUCACUUAUAGAUGGAUCCGCGCUGCAUUAGCUAGUUGGUAAGGUAACGGCUUACCAAGGCAACGAUGCAUAGCCGACCUGAGAGGGUGAUCGGCCACACUGGAACUGAGACACGGUCCAGACUCCUACGGGAGGCAGCAGUAGGGAAUCUUCCGCAAUGGGCGAAAGCCUGACGGAGCAACGCCGCGUGAGUGAUGAAGGUCUUCGGAUCGUAAAACUCUGUUAUUAGGGAAGAACAUAUGUGUAAGUAACUGUGCACAUCUUGACGGUACCUAAUCAGAAAGCCACGGCUAACUACGUGCCAGCAGCCGCGGUAAUACGUAGGUGGCAAGCGUUAUCCGGAAUUAUUGGGCGUAAAGCGCGCGUAGGCGGUUUUUUAAGUCUGAUGUGAAAGCCCACGGCUCAACCGUGGAGGGUCAUUGGAAACUGGAAAACUUGAGUGCAGAAGAGGAAAGUGGAAUUCCAUGUGUAGCGGUGAAAUGCGCAGAGAUAUGGAGGAACACCAGCGGCGAAGGCGACUUUCUGGUCUGUAACUGACACUGAUGUGCGAAAGCGUGGGGAUCAAACAGGAUUAGAUACCCUGGUAGUCCACGCCGUAAACGAUGAGUGCUAAGUGUUAGGGGGUUUCCGCCCCUUAGUGCUGCAGCUAACGCAUUAAGCACUCCGCCUGGGGAGUACGACCGCAAGGUUGAAACUCAAAGGAAUUGACGGGGACCCGCACAAGCGGUGGAGCAUGUGGUUUAAUUCGAAGCAACGCGAAGAACCUUACCAAAUCUUGACAUCCUUUGACAACUCUAGAGAUAGAGCCUUCCCCUUCGGGGGACAAAGUGACAGGUGGUGCAUGGUUGUCGUCAGCUCGUGUCGUGAGAUGUUGGGUUAAGUCCCGCAACGAGCGCAACCCUUAAGCUUAGUUGCCAUCAUUAAGUUGGGCACUCUAAGUUGACUGCCGGUGACAAACCGGAGGAAGGUGGGGAUGACGUCAAAUCAUCAUGCCCCUUAUGAUUUGGGCUACACACGUGCUACAAUGGACAAUACAAAGGGCAGCGAAACCGCGAGGUCAAGCAAAUCCCAUAAAGUUGUUCUCAGUUCGGAUUGUAGUCUGCAACUCGACUACAUGAAGCUGGAAUCGCUAGUAAUCGUAGAUCAGCAUGCUACGGUGAAUACGUUCCCGGGUCU
rnacentral:rRNA from 1 species